AAAAGUAAUCGCGUUUAUCGUAUAAAGUUGGUAAUAGGGUCCAACAGUAUCUACCAAAUCACCUUAAAUGAUUUGACUACGAUAUUUCUUAUA
rnacentral:ncRNA from 1 species